GUGUCAGCAGCCGCGGUAAUACAGAGGUGGCAAGCGUUGUUCGGAAUCACUGGGCUUAAAGCGUGUGUAGGCGGACCGGCGUGUGUCAUGUGAAAUCCCCCGUCUUAACCGGGGAAUUGCUUGGCAGACUGCCGGCCUUGAGGCAGGCAGGGGUGCGUGGAACUCUUGGUGGAGCGGUGAAAUGCGUAGAUAUCAAGAGGAACGCCAGUGGUGAAGACGGCGCACUAGGCCUGAACUGACGCUGAGACACGAAAGCGUGGGGAGCGAACGGGAUUAGAUACCCCGGUAGUCCACGCUGUAAACGAUGCCUACCAGGUGUUGGAGAUUCUGACAUCUUCAAGACCGUAGCAAAAGUGUUAAGUAGGCCGCCUGGGGAGUACGGUCGCAAGGCUAAAACUUAAAGGAAUUGACGGGG
rnacentral:rRNA from 1 species